rnacentral:ncRNA from 12 species
UUAGCUUAGGUCUGUGGUUGAAAGUCGAUGCCAGUCGCAGGCGAAACGAUCCACGUAAGGAGUCUAAAAUGGGCUCUGAGCAUGGUGCGGCUUAGAGGUAAAGUCCUGCCGCCCCCGGUAAAGAAAUUUGGGCGAGAGAAGUAGUAGUGAGGAGAUAACACUUAGUAGCGAACCUCCCAGCAGGCGAGUGUGGGGUCAAAGACCAGGUCGGCUAAGCAAA